AUCCUAAGGUGAUCGAGAGAACUCUCGUUAAGGAACUCGGCAAAAUGACCCCGUAACUUCGGGAGAAGGGGUGCUUCUUAGGGUGUUAAAGCCCCGAGAAGCCGCAGUGAAUAGGCCCAGGCGACUGUUUAGCAAAAACACAGGUCUCUGCGAAGCCGUAAGGCGAAGUAUAGGGGCUGACGCCUGCCCGGUGCUGGAAGGUUAAGAGGAGCGCUUAGCGUAAGCGAAGGUGCGAAUUGAAGCCCCAGUAAACGGCGGCCGUAACUAUAACGGUCCUAAGGUAGCGAAAUUCCUUGUCGGGUAAGUUCCGACCCGCACGAAAGGCGCAACGAUCUGGGCACUGUCUCAACGAGAGACUCGGUGAAAUUAUAGUACCUGUGAAGAUGCAGGUUACCCGCGACAGGACGGAAAGACCCCGUGGAGCUUUACUGCAGCCUGAUAUUGAAUGUUGGUACAGCUUGUACAGGAUAGGUAGGAGCCUUGGAAACCGGAGCGCUAGCUUCGGUGGAGGCAUCGGUGGGAUACUACCCUGGCUGUAUUGACCUUCUAACCCGCUGCCCUUAUCGGGCAGGGAGACAGUGUCAGGUGGGCAGUUUGACUGGGGCGGUCGCCUCCUAAAAUGUAACGGAGGCGCCCAAAGGUUCCCUCAGAAUGGUUGGAAAUCAUUCGCAGAGUGUAAAGGCACAAGGGAGCUUGACUGCGAGACCUACAAGUCGAGCAGGGACGAAAGUCGGGCUUAGUGAUCCGGUGGUUCCGCAUGGAAGGGCCAUCGCUCAACGGAUAAAAGCUACCCCGGGGAUAACAGGCUUAUCUCCCCCAAGAGUCCACAUCGACGGGGAGGUUUGGCACCUCGAUGUCGGCUCAUCGCAUCCUGGGGCUGUAGUCGGUCCCAAGGGUUGGGCUGUUCGCCCAUUAAAGC
rnacentral:rRNA from 1 species